CGGGCUGUCGUAUAGUGGUAGUACGCAUGGCUGGGGGUCAUGCAGCCCGAGUUCGAUCCUCGGCAGCCCGA
rnacentral:tRNA from 1 species